rnacentral:rRNA from 1 species
AUGGUUCGAAUUAGAAUUCCACCAUCAAGGGUUCGUGGCCAGCAUGUCCUACUACUUUGGCAAAUGAUGCAGGAGCUUGGGGCACCAUGUCCUCAAUUCUUUGAAGAGAUGCCAGAUGAUGGAACACACUCCUACAGACGUGUAGUUGUGGUGCUCAGCGGUGUUCCAUCAGACAUGGACUUCUAUGUGGAGCUCUCCACAAUGCAGCGGUCAUCCGAUGACACUCUACCCAUGCAGGAGGUUGCCAAGGAAGCUAUGCUUGGACUGCGAGCACGCUUUGGAGAGAAACUGCGCACCACCGGAUACCGUGACUUGCCAGCACUUGAUUCUGGGAGUUUUGGGCAGAACCAUCAGCAAGGACCUAGAGGAGCAAGCCUGGGUGUUGGGUCUUCAUCAGCUUAG